GCCAAAUGCCUCGUCAUCU
rnacentral:ncRNA from 2 species